CAGGAUCGAUGAUGCAACCUUUAACUGCGUUAUCUUUCUGCAACCCAUUUAUGGGUGCUGAAGAACACAUAAGCUGCUGAUAUCCAUG